rnacentral:miRNA from 1 species
AGCUGGGUUGAGAGGGUGGU